GGCCUGGUGGUGUAGAGGCAACAUACCUGCUACGUUUAUACAGACAGAUACGCAGUAUUCCGCAGGAGUCCCUUGUUCGAUUCGAGGGCAGGCCA